UCAAGUUAUUAAGGGUGCAGGGCGGAUGCCUUGGCACUAGGAGCCGAUGAAGGACGUGAUAAGCUGCGAUAAGCUUCGGGGAGUUGCACGUAAACUUUGAUCCGAAGAUUUCCGAAUGAGGAAACUCACUUAGAGUAAUGUCUAAGUAUCAUUAAGUGAAUACAUAGCUUAAUGAGGGGAACUCAGGGAACUGAAACAUCUAAGUACCUGAAGGAAGAGAAAGAAAUUCGAUUCCGUAAGUAGCGGCGAGCGAACGCGGAUUAGCCCAAACCAAUAAAGUUUUCUUUAUUGGGGUUGCGGACAUAUCAUAACGAAGAGGUAUCGUAAUUGAAGAGGUUUGGAAAGACCCACCACAGAAGGUAAUAGUCCUGUAUGUUAAACGAGAAGACUUCAGAUAUGAUCCAGAGUACCACGGGACACGUGAAACCCUGUGGGAAGCAGGAGGGACCACCCUCCAAGGCUAAAUACUACCUAGUGACCGAUAGCGUAUAGUACCGUGAGGGAAAGGUGAAAAGAACCCCGGGAGGGGAGUGAAAUAGAACCUGAAACCCUGCACUUACAAGCUGUGGAAGCACAUUUCUUGUGUGACCGCGUACUUUUUGUAGAACGGGCCAACGAGUUACGUUAAGUAGCAAGGUUAAGCACUUAAGGUGUGGAGCCGUAGCGAAAGCGAGUUUUAACUGAGCGUUCAGUUACUUGACGUAGACCCGAAACCGGGCGACCUACCCAUGAGCAGGAUGAAGCGAAAGUAAAAUUUCGUGGAGGUCCGAACCCACGAGCGUUGAAAAGCUCGGGGAUGACUUGUGGGUAGCGGUGAAAUUCCAAUCGAGCCCGGAGAUAGCUGGUUCUCCCCGAAAUAGCUUUAGGGCUAGCCUCAAGGUGAGAGAUACGGAGGUAGAGCACUGAAUGUCCUAGGGGGUAUUGCACCUACCGAAGACUAUCAAACUCCGAAUGCCGUCAUCUUAUACUUGGGAGUCAGACUGUGGGUGAUAAGAUUCAUAGUCGAAAGGGCAACAGCCCAGAUCGUCAGCUAAGGUCCCUAAAUGUAAGUUAAGUGGUAAAGGAUGUGGGAUUGCACAGACAACCAGGAUGUUGGCUUAGAAGCAGCCACUCAUUCAAAGAGUGCGUAAUAGCUCACUGGUCGAGUGAUCCUGCGCCGAAGAUUUCCGGGGCUAAAACUUACUACCGAAGCUACGGCAUCAGUAAUGAUGGGUAGGGGAGCUUCCCAUACGGGUUGAAGCAUGACCGUAAGGACAUGUGGACAGUAUGGGAGUGAGAAUGUUGGCAUGAGUAGCGAGAUGUGGGUGAGAAUCCCACAGGCCGUAAACCCAAGGUUUCCAGGGGAAGGUUCGUCCACCCUGGGUUAGUCGGGACCUAAGCUGAGGCCGAAAGGCGUAGGUGAUGGACAACAGGUUGAUAUUCCUGUACUACCGAUAACCGUUUGAGAGAAGGGAUGACACAGUAGGAUAAGCUAAGCACACUGUUGGUUAUGUGUGCCCAAGCAUUGAGGCAGUCAAAGUAGGCAAAUCCGCUUUGAUAAUGCUGGGAUGUGAUGGGGAGCGAAAUUUAGUAGCGAAGUAGCUGAUUUCACACUGUCAAGAAAAGUCUCUAUCGAGGUUAAAGGUACCCGUACCGCAAACCGACACAGGUGGGUGAGGAGAGUAUCCUAAGGCCAGCGAGAGAACUGUUGUUAAGGAACUCGGCAAAAUGACCCCGUAACUUAGGGAUAAGGGGUGCCACCAUCAGGUGGCCGCAGAGAAUAGGCCCAAGCGACUGUUUACCAAAAACAUAGGUUUCUGCUAAGUCGCAAGACGAUGUAUAGGAGCUGACGCCUGCCCGGUGCUGGAAGGUUAAGGGGAUCUGUUAGAGCAAUCGAAGCAGUGAACUUAAGCCCCAGUAAACGGCGGCCGUAACUAUAACGGUCCUAAGGUAGCGAAAUUCCUUGUCGGGUAAGUUCCGACCCGCACGAAAGGCGUAACGAUUUGGGCACUGUCUCAACAACAGACUCGGUGAAAUUGUAAUUCCGGUGAAGAUGCCGGAUACCUGCGACAGGACGGAAAGACCCCAUGGAGCUUUACUGUAGCUUGACAUUGGGUCUUGGUACUACAUGUACAGGAUAGGUGGGAGGCUUUGAAACCAGGACGCCAGUUUUGGCGGAGCCAUCCUUGGGAUACCACCCUUGUAGUACUGGGACUCUAACCAUAGACCAUGAAUCUGGUCUUGGGACACUGUCAGGUGGGCAGUUUGACUGGGGCGGUCGCCUCCCAAAAGGUAACGGAGGCGCUCAAAGGUUCUCUCAGUACGGUCGGAAAUCGUACGUAGAGUGUAAAGGCAAAAGAGAGCUUGAUUGCAAGACAUACAGGUCGAGCAAGGAUGAAAAUCGGACUUAGUGAUCCGGUGGUUCUGCGUGGAAGGGCCAUCGCUCAACGGAUAAAAGCUACCCUGGGGAUAACAGGCUUAUCUCCCCCAAGAGUCCACAUCGACGGGGAGGUUUGGCACCUCGAUGUCGGCUCAUCACAUCCUGGGGCUGUAGUAGGUCCCAAGGGUUGGGCUGUUCGCCCAUUAAAGUGGUACGCGAGCUGGGUUCAGAACGUCGUGAGACAGUUCGGUCCCUAUCCGUCGCAGGCGUAGGAAAUUUGAGAAGACCUGUCCUUAGUACGAGAGGACCGGGAUGGACGUACCUCUGGUGUACCAGUUGUCCUGCCAAGGGCAUGGCUGGGUAGCUAUGUACGGAAUGGAUAAGCGCUGAAAGCAUCUAAGCGCGAAGCCAACUUCAAGAUAAGAUUUCCCACCGCAAGGGUAAGACCCCAGAAAGACUAUCUGGUUGAUAGGUCGAAGGUGUAAGUGCAGCAAUGUAUUUAGCUUAUCGAUACUAAUAGGUCGAGGACUUGACCAA
rnacentral:rRNA from 1 species